GUGGAGUUAAUUUAUACAUGACGAGUUGCGAUUCGAUUAGAUGAGGAGUAGAUACCAAUUAGGGUGCAGCAGAUGUCAAAGAUGGACACCGAGGAAUACGGGCAAUGGUGGUCGAAAUAUUUGAGAUCAGCGUCGAUCAGAGCCUUUGCAUGCGUUCCCAUCAAGCAACGAGUUCACCAACGUGGAGACUAUUUUUCUGCGUACUCUGCAGAGUACUUACUAGUUCCUGGACUGGGCCAAAUCACUCAAUUAUUGGGCCCAAAUCUACUAUUCCUCGAAGGCUCGAAAGGCCGCAGCCAUGGCGUCGAGCUCAACGUCGGCAGCGGCCAGCAAAACCCUCCGUGGACUGCUUCCCGGAGGAGUCCGACCUCCACCGCCGCUAACUUCCCUUCGUGCUUGCCGUCGCCCGUCGGCGUCUAGUAGCAGCAGGAAUCAGCGCCGCCUUUUCGCUCCGACCACUCCGGCGUCCUCCGUGAGUCCACCGCGACGGCAAGCGGCUCCCCGCGCGGUACCUCGUCCUACUCCCGCAUCUCCGCCGCGCCGCCGCCUUCUGCACUGCAAUCCAGCCGCCGCGCCGCUGCCUACCGGCUACCUCCACGCCAGAUCGGUCGCCACAAUCAGACCGAUGGUUUAGACCGAACCAUCGGUCUUUGGUUUUCUAUCUUAAAGAAUUUCGGUUUCUUGGCGGUCGCGAUUGCUUCGUGAAGAACUGAAGAGUGAAGACGGUGACCCCGGUUGAUCAGUCAUCACAUUUUGGCUACGGUGGAUUGCUUACCUGUUUGACAUUAUCAUAAACAGUUGAAGGUUCACUAAAAUCAACCACCACUCCAGUUGCUCUGGUCUGAAAGAACAUAAGUUUCAAAUAGCAAACCCGUGAAGUGUAUAACAGUACAACUGUACAAGUGGAUAUAAGCAUUUUAUAGUACAAUGAAGAGGCCAAUACUUGUGCAAUUGAGCCCAGAACCAUUGUGAGAUCAUUGAGCACCGGAAUUUCCAGGGCUUCUUCCAUGCCACUUAUCUAGAAGAACAAUGCCGGCAUUUAUAAACUGUAAGAGACAAAGAACAAGCAGCUAUUGCAGCAGGGAGACAGCCUAAUUACAAGGGAAAUGGCGCAUUGAGUGAAUGGUGAAUACCUCUCCUGCAUCUAGGCCUAUACACUGAGAAUCUAUGGCCCCUGCAAGCUCCAUUCCCCUUGCUUUACUUACUGCCGCUAUUGCCGUUCUUCCAAUCUCUUUUGUCGCCCCAAUGAUAACAACCUUUUCAAUAUACCACCAGAUUUUGCCUUCAGAGGAAGUUGCAGUGCUAUUAGAGAAGAACAUUCAUAAUGUCAUAACCCACAGUACCUUGAUUGUGCUCUGAGAUGGCGGCAUCUGCGUUGAGCAGAGGACCUUUGCUGCAUUUCUCCUGCCAAUCUUUCCGAAUGUUCUGGUAUGAGCAGAGUGGCAUAAAGUAGCCAUGAUUUUGUUCUGAAGACUGAGCUUACAUGAAAGGGAGGUUCAGGUAGUUAUGUUCUCUCUA